GGCAGAAAGCUGGAUUUCCCUGAAUCCUCUUCUCUCUUCUAACCCUGAAGCUGGGUUAGAGUUCACCAAUGAGGACAGAUCAGAAAGAAGAGUUCUUUCAAGUCGUUAUCUGGAAAAUUUCCUGAAAUUGCCAAGAAUCUGCCACUUUCAAUAAUAUCAACUCUGAAAGAGAGAGAGAGGCUAGGAGAGACCGUGGGGGACAGAAGUGUUGAUUGCUGCCCAUGGCCAUGCUGGUUUCUUUUCUUCCCCUGUGUAAAGACUGCUGGCUUGGUAUCUCUGGACUCUAGCAGCGCUGGAGAAGAAAUUGGGAUUGUAAAAGAAAUCUUCGUUUUCUGUAAAAUAAGCAUAGCCCCUCCUGUGUUGUUUGUCUCCAGCCGCGUACAUGAAGUGGAGCCCAUUGGUAUGGUUUUGAGAUUGGAGUAUGGGAAGAAGACAAACAUGAAUAAACAUGAAGGUCAAGAAACCCAGAGUACAGAGGGUUUUGUUAUUCUUUCAACAUUUGUCACCAGAUGCGUGCCUCAAAUAAGUCUGGCUUCGAGAAACGGUUUUUAAGACUUGCUUAGAUGUGACAGCUGUAAAAGUCCCUCAUGAACUCUGAAAAGGCAAUCUCAGCCCAGCUGCUCAUGUUUAGGGCUAUCCAGAAUGAAAAUGCUGUUAGCAACAGAAUUCAUUUCUCCCCCAGUAAUGGCUCUGACAAACAUUCAGUGCCAAAGAUGAGACUGUGUUUUUCUUUUUCUUUUUUGUAUUUUUCCUAUCUGGAUUUAACAAUGGUACUAUGUUCUUGAUCACCAGGGGUGUGCAAAAGUAAUAAUAAAGCCCGUGGGUAAUGAAAGCUACCACAGAGCACAGGAAGCUCAUGAAUGAUCUCAACUCGGGGAGGGCUGAGUUCCUGUGACCACCUUGUGAGACAGACUACGGAGCAUCUAAAGAGAGAGAACUACACCAAAUUAAUGAAUUAUAUUGGAAUGCAUGCCUUUAAAAAAAUACUGUUCAUGGGGUUCUCAAGGCAAGAUCUUAUACUGGAGUAGUUUGCCAUUCCCUCCCCUCCUGUUCUUUCCCUGAUGCUGGGAAAGAGUAAAGGCAAAAGGAGAAGAGUAUGGCAGAGGUAGGGAUGGUUGGAUGGCAUCACCAAUUCAAUGAAAAUGAACUUGGGCAAACUCUGGGAGAUGGUGAGGGACAGCGAGGCCUGGUGUCCUGCAAUCCAUAGGGUCGCAGAGGCAGAUAAGACUUAGCGACUGAGCACACACACACACACACACACACACACGCACAUUGGAAGGCAUGUAGGAGUUUGCCUGCACAUCUCAUGCAUGUUGAAGUACCCUUAAGAAUUUCCUUAAGGUGAUUGAUUGGUGUUAAUGAACAGUAUAGAGUCAUACAAAUUUAUUUAUUUCAAUAAAGUUAAGUUUGCUGUAUGUAUUUGUGAAUAGAUAUGUCUCUUUUAUUGUUAACACUUUGAGGACAUGAACUAUGUCUCAUUAUGAAUAACAGUAUCCUUCAUAAACUCUAACAUCAUGUCAUGCACCUCAGUUCCCCCAAUUAAUUUUGGCUUUGUUGAGUGACACAUUAGGACAUUAAAGCACUCAGAAUCAACUGAAAUGAAAACCAUGUCAGGAUUCGGAACUGGAAAUGGGCUACCUACUACCUGUCAAUUUGACAGAAUGGCCUUCUCUGCCUACGUGUGCUUUACUAUAGAGCCCGAGCCAGGACGUCAGGAGUAGUUCCUUGCUCUCUGAAUCCCUGUCUGUCAAAAUUCUACUUCUCUCUUCAUGGUCUCACUCAAAUAUCCCUAUCUUUAAGAAGCUGCCCAGAUCCCUCCACUAAAGUUAACUUUCUCCUCUCUAUUCCUAGAGGAGGGCUUCUUAACCUUGGCAUUAUUGACAUUUUGUGCCAGAUAAUUCUUUGUUGCUGUGGAGGGGGUGGGGAGAGAGGGGGCUGUUCUGUGCAUUGUAGAGUGUUUAGCAUCAUUCGUGGCUUCUAGCUACUAGCUGUCAGCAGCACCUCCCCAGCCGUGACAACUGACAGUGUUUCCAAAUAUUUCCAAUAUUCCUUGGAAGGUAAUGUCACUCCUGGUUGAGAAUCACUGUCCUUCAGCAGAUUUUUGGACUGUCAUUAUAGCAAUUGUCAUCUCUCUCUUUUUCUUAGUAUAUAUACUUGACUGUUGGAUUUUUAACCUCUUUUGAGUGUGGGGAUAACCUAUAUUUUUCAAUCUUGGUAAGCUCUCUCUACUAAACUCUUAGCAUAAUCUAUCUAUCUAUCUCUCUGUUUAUCUAUCUAUAUGGUAUAGAGAGCUUACCAAGAGUGAAAAAUAUAGAUUACCCCUAUACUCAAAGAAGUUAAAGUCUAACAGUCUAUAUCUACCUAUCUCUCCCCAACCCCCUGCCCCACAGCAACCACCAGUCUGUUUCCUAUGUCUAUGUCUGUUUCCACAUAUGUGAUAUCUAUAUAUGAUGUUUGUCUUUCUCUUUCUGACUUACUUCACUUAGUAUGAUAAUCUCUAGUUGUGUUCAUGUUGCUGAAAAUGGCAUUACUUUGUUCUUUUUUAUGGUUGAGUAGUAUUCCCUUGUAUAUGUGUACCACAUCUUCUUUAUCCAUUCAUCUGUCAGUGGACAUUUAGGUUGUUUCCAUGCCUUGGCUAUUGUGAACAACGCUACCAUGAACAUAGGGGUGGAUGCAUCUUUUUGAAAUAUAAAGUUUUGUCUGAAUAUAUGCCCAGGAGUUGAACUGCUGAAUCAUAUGGAAAUUCUAGUUUUAGUUUUCUGAGAAACCUCCAUACUGUUUUCCACAGUGACUACACCAAUUUACAUUUCCACCAAUGGUAUAGGAGGUUUCCCUUUUCUGCAUGUCCUCUCCAGCAUU
ensembl:lncRNA